GAUGAACGCUGGCGGCGUGUCUAAUACAUGCAAGUCGAGCGAACAGACGAGGAGCUUGCUCCUCUGACGUUAGCGGCGGACGGGUGAGUAACACGUGGAUAACCUACCUAUAAGACUGUGAUAACUUCGGGAAACCGGAGCUAAUACCGGAUAAUAUAUUGAACCGCAUGGUUCAAUAGUGAAAGACGGUUUUGCUGUUACUUAUAGAUGGUUCCGCGCCGCAUUAGCUAGUUUGUAAGGUAACGGCUUUCCAAGGCAACCAUGCGUAGCCGAGGUGCGAGGGGGAUCGGGCACACUGGGGCUGAGACACGGCCCAGACACCGACGGGAGGCAGCGGUAGGGAAGCGUGCGCGAUGGGCGGAAGACUGACGGAGCGGCGGCGCGUGAGUGAUGAAGGUCCUCGGGUGGUAAAACGCUGUUAGGGGGGAAGAACAAAUGUGUAAGUAACGAUGCACGUCUGGACGGUAUCUAUUCAGAAAGCCACGGCUAACUACGU
rnacentral:rRNA from 1 species